rnacentral:miRNA from 1 species
UAAGAAGUGGGAUGGGGGGCCCUCACCUUCCCCUCCUUUC